GACGAACGCUGGCGGCGUGCUUAACACAUGCAAGUCGAACGGAAAGGCCCUGCUUUUGUGGGGUGCUCGAGUGGCGAACGGGUGAGUAACACGUGAGUAACCUGCCCUUGACUUUGGGAUAACUUCAGGAAACUGGGGCUAAUACCGGAUAUGAGCUCCUGCUGCAUGGUGGGGGUUGGAAAGUUUCGGCGGUUGGGGAUGGACUCGCGGCUUAUCAGCUUGUUGGUGGGGUAGUGGCUUACCAAGGCUUUGACGGGUAGCCGGCCUGAGAGGGUUACCGGCCACAUUGGGACUGAGAUACGGCCCAGACUCCUACGGGAGGCAGCAGUGGGGAAUAUUGCACAAUGGGCGGAAGCCUGAUGCAGCAACGCCGCGUGCGGGAUGACGGCCUUCGGGUUGUAAACCGCUUUCGCAUGUGACGAAGCGUGAGUGACGGUAAUGGGUAAAGAAGCACCGGCUAACUACGUG
rnacentral:rRNA from 1 species